UUGGACUGGUGUAGGAAUUUCCUAG
rnacentral:piRNA from 1 species